rnacentral:rRNA from 1 species
GAGUCAUUGUAGCAAUACAAGGCAGACGGCUCAGUAACGCGUAGCCCUUUUAACCUAUGGACGGGGAUAACCUCGGGAAACUGAGACCAUACCCGAUAGAUCAUCAUGCCUGGAAUGGCCGAUGGUUGAAAUGAUUUAUCGCCAUAGGAUGGGACUGCGAUCUAUCAGCUUGUUGGUGAGGUAAUGGCCCACCAAGGCUAUAACAGAUACGGGCUCUGAGAGGAGAAGCCCGGAGAUGGGUACUGAGACACGGACCCAGGCCCUAUGGGGCGCAGCAGGCGAGAAAACUUUGCAAUGUGCGAAAGCACGACAAGGUUAAUCCGAGUGGUUCCUGCUAAAGGAACCUUUUGCCGGUCCUAAAAACACCGGUGAAUAAGGGGUGGGCAAGUUCUGGUGUCAGCCGCCGCGGUAAAACCAGCACCUCAAGUGGUCAGGAGGAUUAUUGGGCCUAAAGCAUCCGUAGCCGGCUGUGUAAGUUUUCGGUUAAAUCCAUGCGCUCAACGUAUGGGCUGCCGGGAAUACUGCACAGCUAGGGAGUGGGAGAGGUAGACGGUACUCGGUAGGGAGGGGUAAAAUCCACUGAUCUAUCGAUGACCACCUGUGGCGAAGGCGGUCUACUAGAACACGUCCGAC